GGCAGCGUGCCUGAAUGUAAAGGGUCACUAUGAUAAAGUGAAUAUAGAGGUAUAAUAACCCUCUCGCUUCCU
rnacentral:tRNA from 1 species